GUUCGACUGUCUUUUCGGUGGCCAAGCAAAUAACAGUAAAUUCAAAUUAGACGUGAAUCAAAUGAUGCUGAUCGCUCGCCAUCUCACCGCGAGGCUCUCCAUCCACUCAGCAGAAGCCGGGCGGUUCAGUUAUGGUCCACUGUGACGUGAAAUCCGCCAAUGUUUUACUGCAACGGAAUGACGAAAGAAGUGUCGUACGAGCUGUUUUGGCCGAUUUUGGUUUGGCACGUUUUCAUUCGGAUCUCAAUGUAAGUGGCUCCCGCUUUGGCCUAGCAGCCAGUUCCAUGACAGCCUUGGUAGGUACCCACGGCUAUGUCGAUCCUUUGUGUGCGGAGAGUUCAACCUACAGACGGGCCGGCCAGUUUGCAUGUCCUUCACGCUUAAAGGUCGCGGGGAACAUAACGUGUAAAACUGGCAAUGCGGUGGUGUAGAGGUUGGGUGAGAAUUGGACGUGUUGCAUCAUUAUCAAGCAGACCCAUCCCCAACGACGUCAACAUAAAGAAGGAAAGGCCAGUUUGCAUUUCCUUCACGCUCGAAGGUCACGGAGAUCUUAACGUAAAACGUGUCAUGCGACGGGGGAGAGGUUGGGUGAGGACGACACGCGUUGCAUCAUUGGCUUAAGGCUUAGGAGAGGGGUCAGGGUGAGAAAAAGUCGUAUAAAAGGAGAGAGAAAAGGGGUCGGAUAUCAGUCGAGUGAGCAUCUCCGACACGGCAACAACUGCCGUGCACUAUUUGUCACUAAAUCGCAAUCAUGAUCAAUUAUGGCGUUGUGCUGCUGUUGGUUGUUGUCCUCAAAUACUACACCACCACCAAAACUACAAUUUAUGCUGCCCGAGCUGCAUCACCAAAGAGCCCUAACCCAUCCCCAGUAACGUCAACCUGCUGAAGGAAAGGCCAGUUUGUAUGUCGUUCACUUUCGAAGGUCACGGAGAUCAUUACGUAAACUGU